UUGUAGUGCCGCGAGUUGAGCUCCUCUUGCCUAAGUGGUCGCGCCCCCUUUAAGAGCAGCGAUUGUAAGGAGAGGCGGUCCCGGUGUCCUCGGGUCCCAGGUGAUUGUGAAGUGCUGACCAAUUGCCACUGGACAUACUUGAAACAAAAUAGGAAAAUGGCAGCAAACUCUUCAGGACAAGACAAGGUCUCGCUGUGUUGCCCAGGCUGAUCUUGAACUCCUGGCCUCAGGUGAUCCUCCUGCCUCAACUUCCCAAAGCACUAGGAUUACAAAUGUUUUCAAAACAAAAAUAGAGUUGCAAUCUUGGCAGAACUGGACAAAGAGAAAAGAAAACUACUUAUGCAGAACCAGUCUUCAACAAAUCAUCCUGGAGCUAGCAUGCUCAUGCACAUUCAUCUGGAUACUUCAUCACUCAAGACUCUGCAUUUGGGAACCUUAUUCUUCCUGUUUUACCUCGCCUUGACCCAGAAUGAAGAAAACAUUUGCGAUGGAAAAGUGACUUUGUAAUAUCAAAUGCCAAAGCUACUAUCAUUCAGUGCUACAUGAACUGUGACUUUAAGAAUUUUGGUGAACUUUGAUAUUUUUUGUUUGUCUGAAAGAAAGGAAUGUGUAAGUGAAAGCUGAAAGAAGAAUAACCAGGAUGAUGAGAGCUGUGGAAGCUGUAUCGUCCAAGGAAUUGAUUAUGUACCGUGACUGUAACUUUUUUGUAAUGCUGUUUAACUCUCAAUCAGACUGUGAACUGGAUGGUCACGAAGUCAUUCCCCAACUCCUAGCAAGUUUGACUGAAUAUAUCAUGUCCACAGUAGAUUUUCAAGAAUCAUUUAUAGUACUUAACUUUAAAGAAACAAGGCUGCUUUUAAAAAAUGAACUAAUAGGCUU
rnacentral:lncRNA from 1 species